rnacentral:tRNA from 1 species
GGAGAGGUGCCCGAGUGGUCGAAGGGAGCCGUCUUGAAAACGGCCGAGGUGAAAGUCUCCGUGGGUUCGAAUCCCACCCUCUCCGCCA